rnacentral:sRNA from 1 species
CCCAGAGCUCACCAGGGAAUGGUAUGGACCCCGGAGCCCUCUGCUCUGCCCAGAACGCCAAGAAGACAUCCUGGACUCUCUCUAUGCUCUCAAUGGGGUGACCUUCAAGUUGGACCUCCAGCAGCCAGACCUGGAUGGAGCCUGGCCCAUGUUCUCAGAAUCCCAGCCACAUAUGGAGGGCCCGAAAAUGUCCAGAUUGAGGACUCACACACCAGUCAAGCCGUCUGUCUGCAAGAUGCACCGAGUGGACAGCAGUUGGCAGGGCUUCCCAGGUCCCAGCAACAAAGGCAUCUUCCUUUCUUUUUGGAAAAGAAGGGGGAAAAUUCCAGGAGACAUAGGUACCCCCAGAGCAUGUGGGAGCCAGGAGGGGAGGAGCUUCAGCUAGACCAGGAGGAAGCAGCCCCAUGGAUUGAGAUCUUCCUGGGGAACUCAACAUCCAGCACCCAGGGACAGGGGAAGGGGGCUAUGGGCACUCAGAAGGAGGUGAUAGGGAUGGAGGCUGAGGGCACAGGGGUUCUUCUGGUUGCAAAGGGUCAGAGAACAACAGAGGGGACUCGUGAAAAGGAAGCAGAGUGGAGUCAUGUCCAGAGGCUGCUGAUGCCCAGCUCCAGAGGGACCAUAGCAGGAGCAGUAUCGGGGAGCAGGCAGAGGUCGGGGGGCUCUAGCAUCCUAGGGGAGCCCUGGGUCCUUCAGGGACUCGCAACAAAGGAAGACUCUACCGUGGAGAAUCCACAAGUGCAAACGGAAGUGACCCUUGUGGCCAGAAGGGAGGAGCAAGCCGAGGUGU